CCAACGGCCCUUUUAAGGGCCACCAUACAAUCCCGAGAGCAAAAUU
rfam:Orchesella cincta Ocin01_Sc0145, whole genome shotgun sequence.